GACAGAGGAUGCAAGCGUUAUCCGGAAUGAUUGGGCGUAAAGCGUCUGUAGGUGGCUUUUUAAGUCCGCCGUCAAAUCCCAGGGCUUCAACCCUGGACAGGCGGUGGAAACUACCAAGCUGGAGUACGGUAGGGGCAGAGGGAAUUUCCGGUGGAGCGGGUGAAAUGCGGUAGAUAUUGGAAAGACCACCGAUGGCGAAGGCACUCUACUGGGCCACUACUGACACUGAGAGACGAAAGCUAGGGGAGCGAAUGGG
rnacentral:rRNA from 1 species